CAACGUUUUAAGAAGCCAUUCAAAGUCAAGCACGCUGGUCAUAAAACUUUCAACAGGAUGAUUGAGGAUUACCACCUGUCCGUCUUCACGAACAUGCUUGGAGUUACUGUGAUUUGUGAUUUGUUGUGUUAAAAUACAAAGCGUUUCUUAAGUACACGUUUAAUUGUAUUUUAUUUUAUCUUUACAGUUAAGUAUAAACUAGAACCAGCCCAAACUUGAAAAGCUGCCAACUGGAAAUAUGUUUGUCCAAGACAUCAUGAGGAAUACUGUUAAAGAACUGCAAAAAGAGUAAAUUAUUAUACAUACUGUAUAUUUUUUUGUAACCUCUUUUUAAAUAAAGAACGACUACGUUCAGUGUGCACUGUU